AGCGUUGUUCGGAAUUACUGGGCGUAAAGGGCUCGUAGGCGGCCAACUAAGUCAUACGUGAAAUCCCUCGGCUUAACCGGGGAACUGCGUCUGAUACUGGAUGGCUUGAGUUCGGGAGAGGGAUGCGGAAUUCCAGGUGUAGCGGUGAAAUGCGUAGAUAUCUGGAGGAACACCGGUGGCGAAGGCGGCAUCCUGGACCGAUACUGACGCUGAGGAGCGAAAGCCAGGGGAGCAAACGGG
rnacentral:rRNA from 1 species